GGCCCGCCGGCGAGUGGCGAACGGGUGAGUAAUGCAUCGGAACGUACCCAGUCAUGGGGGAUAACUACGCGAAAGCGUAGCUAAUACCGCAUACGCCCUGAGGGGGAAAGCGGGGGAUCGCAAGACCUCGCGUGAUUGGAGCGGCCGAUGUCGGAUUAGCUAGUUGGUGGGGUAAAGGCCUACCAAGGCGACGAUCCGUAGCGGGUCUGAGAGGAUGAUCCGCCACACUGGGACUGAGACACGGCCCAGACUCCUACGGGAGGCAGCAGUGGGGAAUUUUGGACAAUGGGGGCAACCCUGAUCCAGCCAUGCCGCGUGAGUGAAGAAGGCCUUCGGGUUGUAAAGCUCUUUCAGACGGAAAGAAAACGCUUCCUCCUAAUACGGGAGGCGGAUGACGGUA
rnacentral:rRNA from 1 species